rnacentral:tRNA from 1 species
AAGGCUUUAGCUUAAUUAAAGUAUCUGUUUUGCAUACAGGAGAUGUGGGUUAAUGUCCCGCAAGUCUUA